rnacentral:lncRNA from 1 species
AAGGGUAUUUUGAAUAUCAUUGCCUAAUCGAAGAGCUAUAUUUAAAAUAGGAUUAAUUUUAUACAGCUCUCUACAAAUAUAGUGAAUUGCAUAUAUAUUCCUACAAAAUUCAACUUUCAUAUAUUGUCCCCGCAAAAGUCCUAAUUCUUUCAAAUAUGUUCAUCUGGUUAGUUACCGUUAAAACACUGUUUAUUUUAUAAUUUAAACGACUUUUUUGCCAUCACAAAUAUGUCGCUCUAAAAAUUUCAACUAUUAAUUAACGAGAGGUAAAAAAGUCAAUUCAUCUCAUUAACUAACUAGAAUUAAGUAUUUUAUCUAUCAUUAACUAAUUUUUUUUAACGGAUCCUAACGGCAGAAAUAUAUUUGAAAAUAUCAAAAUUUUUACAGAAAUAAAAUAUAAAAGUUGAACAUUGUAGGAAUAUAUUUAUAAUUCACUAUAAUUGUAGGGACUUGUAUGAAAAAUAUGUUGAAACUUUCUCAUUAAUUGGUGAGCUAACUAGGUUAUA